CGGGCAUCGUAUAAUGGCUAUUACCUCAGCCUUCCAAGCUGAUGAUGCGGGUUCGAUUCCCGCCAGUUCGA
rnacentral:tRNA from 1 species